GUAGACAUAGUUUAACUAAGACACUAGAUUGUGAUUCUAGAGACAGGGGCUAAACUCCCCUUGCCCACC
rnacentral:tRNA from 1 species